AAAACCGAUACAUGACUCCUGUAGAGCUUGAACUUGAACAGCAAACAGUUGAGGUCAGCCUUGAAGUCUCCCUCAAACUCAUGAGCAUCCCACUGGUCUCCUCACUGUGUAAAUCAGGCACAAGCCCAAGAGGAAAAACAUGACAGAUUCUUCCACUGGAAGAUCAAGAACCACAACACUGAAUACUCCAAGUGGUGACAAGCAAGGAGAGGAGCAACAGACCAGACAGUCGGAACUCCUCCCACGCAACUUCCCUGGCACAGACCAGCAUCACCACUCAGCAUCUCCCUCCUCUGCUGCUGGUCCUGUCACACAGCUGGGCUUCAAAAGAGGAUGCUCCUCUCCCACGUGCUUCAAAGAGAAACCAGGAGCCACAGAACAAUUACUCCCACUCACAAGACGAGGGGAAAUCCUCUUCUAACAAGGGAUCAUCCUGUUACAACGAGGAUGUCUGGUGAUUUAUGACUUGCUGCUUUAAACUCUCCUUCCCCUCUGAAGAAACACAGGAGACAGCAAAGCUGGAGGGAGAUACAAGAGAGAACUGACACUGGCAAUACUUGAAAUAUAGUGGGAGAGCUGGGAAAACCCUUUCUUUUGGUCCUCAUUAGCAUGACUUAAUUAAUACUUAUAAUCUUAUCAAACAGAGGUUGCCAUGCAGGAGGGAUGAGCAGGCUGGGAAUCAAAGCUUUAAUAAAUAGAUAUUUUAAGACCAAAAAA